rnacentral:sRNA from 1 species
UUAAAAUGAAUUUCCCGCCAAAAUUUUCCCGCCAAAUUUUUUUUUCCAAAAAUAUUUUUCCCGCCUAAAACUUUUUUUUUACGGGAAAUAGAUUUACAAGGGAUUUUAAAAGGGUUUUAAAAUAUUUACAAAGGAUUUUAAAAGGAUUUUAAAAUAUUUGCAAGGGAUUUUAAAAGAUUUACAAGGAAUUUUAAAAGGAUUUUAAAAGAUUUUUAAAGGAUUUUAAAAUAUUUACAAGGGAUUUUAAAGGGCUUUAAAAAAUUUACAAAUGUUUUUUUAAAGAUUUUUAAAAGGUUUAAAUUUGUUUUAAAAGGGUUUUAAAUAUUUACAAGGAAUUUUAAAAGAUUUACAAAUGAUUUUAAAAGGGUUUUAAAAUAUUUACAAGGGAUUUUAAAGGGCUUUAAAAGAUUUACAAAGGUUUUUAAAAGAGUUUUUAAUGGUUUAAAAGUGUUUUAAAAUAUUUACAAGGGAUUUUAAAAAGGCUUAAAAGUGUUUUACAAGAUUUACAAGGAUGGUUUUAAAAGAUUUAUAAGAGAUUUUUAAAAGGUUUAAAAAAGUUUUACAAGAUUUACAAGGAUGGUUUUAAAAAAUUUAUAAAAGAUUUUAAAAGGGUUUAAAAGUGUUUUACAAGAUUUACAAGGAUGGUUUUAAAAGAUUUAUAAGAGAUUUUUAAAGGGUUUAAAUGAGUUUUAAAAAAUAUACAAGAGUUUUUAAAAGAUUUUUAAAAAAUUUACAAGAAGACACUUUAAAAACUCUUGUAAAUCUUUUUAAGACUUUUUUAAAUCUCUUGUAAAUACUUUAAAACUCUUUUAAAAUCUCUUGUAAAUAUUUUAAAACCCUUUUAAAAUUCCUUGUAAAUCUUUUAAAACCUUUUUAAAAUCUCUUGUAAAUCUUUUAAAACCCUUUUAAAGUUCCUUGUAAAUCUUUUAAAGUCUUUUAAAACCUCUUGUAACUCUUUUAAAGCUCUUUUAAAAUCCCUUGUAAAUCUAUUUCCCGCAAAAAAAAGUUACAAGAAUUUUUAAAAGUAUUUUUUUGGCUCUGGAAAAAAUUGUUAUGAAAA